AUUGAACGCUGGCGGCAGGCUUAACACAUGCAAGUCGAGCGGAGAUGAGGUGCUUGCACCUUAUCUUAGCGGCGGACGGGUGAGUAAUGCCUAGGAAUCUGCCUGGUAGUGGGGGACAACGUUUCGAAAGGAACGCUAAUACCGCAUACGUCCUACGGGAGAAAGCAGGGGACCUUCGGGCCUUGCGCUAUCAGAUGAGCCUAGGUCGGAUUAGCUAGUAGGUGAGGUAAUGGCUCACCUAGGCGACGAUCCGUAACUGGUCUGAGAGGAUGAUCAGUCACACUGGAACUGAGACACGGUCCAGACUCCUACGGGAGGCAGCAGUGGGGAAUAUUGGACAAUGGGCGAAAGCCUGAUCCAGCCAUGCCGCGUGUGUGAAGAAGGUCUUCGGAUUGUAAAGCACUUUAAGUUGGGAGGAAGGGCAGUAAGCUAAUACCUUGCUGUUUUGACGUUACCUACAGAAUAAGCACCGGCUAACUCUGUGCCAGCCGCCGCGGUAAGAC
rnacentral:rRNA from 1 species